rnacentral:rRNA from 1 species
AUUGAACGCUGGCGGCAGGCCUAACACAUGCAAGUCGAGCGAGCGGCGGACGGUUGAGUAAUGUUCGGGAAACUGCCUGAAAGCGGGGGAUCACUACUGGAAACGGUAGCUAAUACCGUAUACCAUCAGAUGUGCCCAGUUGGGUUUAGCUAGUAGGUGGGGUAACGGCCCACCUAGUCGACGAUCUCUAGCUGGACUGAGAGGAGGAGCAGCCACACGGGAACUAAGACACGGUCCAGACUCCUACGGGAGGCAGCAGUGGGGAAUAUGGCACAAUGGGCGCAAGCCUGAUCGAGCCAUGCCGCGUGUGUGAAGAAGGCCUUCGGGUUGUAAAGCACUUUCAGCGGAGAGGCGUUACCCACAGAUGAAGCACCGGCUAACUCCGUGCCAGCCGCCGCGGUAAUAC